AAAGAGAAGAGACAAGGCUAGAGGAAAAGAGGUUAAUGAGUAGAGAGGAACACAAACCUGCAUGAUAAUAAAAGCCUGGAGGACUUCAGGGGGCAGGCUAAACGUGAACAGGAAGAUGACAGAGCUGCAUUUCUAGGCACCUGAGGGAAGGCAGGGAGUUGUGUUGUGGCUGUCACAGCUAAAAGAUGCAUCGAGGCACAAGCAAGGAUGUCUACAGCAGCCAACAGGAAGCAUUUGACAGACCAGGAGAUUAGAGAGGAGGUUACCAUCAAGCAGUUGGAGUUUGAUAUAUCAUCCAAUGAUUGCUCUUUGAGUCAUUGGAAGCUCUACGAAAAGAAGAAAAACAAAUUUACAAGCUGCUGUGGUAGUGUCGUAGUCUAACUGAGCAUCCACGGCAUCAGCUGGAGAACUGUCCUGAUGGUGCUCUUGGAAUUUGGGUCAGACUACAUAAUGCUCCAAACAAGCUGUGAAGAAAGCUGCAGGAAGAUCUGAGAGGCAUCCCCAUGAGGACAGGGAUGGAAGGAGCUGGAAGGACAGCUCACCCCAGCUUGUGUCACAACAGCAGAGAUCAUGUUUGCAUCUGCAAGAGAAGCUGCAGUCAACAACAUGGUGCCAACAGUCUCCAGACAAGUCCCAGGCCCUAGCUGGAUGGCACCAACUGGACUGUAUGUCUGGGCACUGCAUCCCACUCAUUUUUAAGGAAAAUUAAGCCCCACCCCGGAGAGUCUGCUCACAGCUCAGGCAGUUCUCUGCUGGACUGGGCUGCCUGGAGCCCGUGUUCUCCACAUCUGAAACCAGACGACCCCAGGAGCAAAGCUCCACGUUUCCAGUCACUGGUUCACAGCCUCUGGCAGUUCCUGCAGGAUGGCUGAAAACAGUGCCAUGGGGCUGGCAGCUUGCCCCCACAGCCAGUGCAUCCCAACCACACCUGCCUUGGACCUGGAGAAGGAAUCCUAUAAUCCCUGUGUGGUCCUUCAGCAUUACCCAGCAUCUCCAUCCCAAACAUUGCGUCUUCCUUCUCCUUCCUGCUCCAUAAUGCAACCACUUAUAUGGAAAAUGAAUCAGCCCUCCUUGGGCAUCUUUCCAAUGCCCCUCUGACUAAUUCUGCCCAAAACAGCCAGGCUGACCCUGUGCAAUGGCGUGAUCAUGGCAGACAGGACUGGGUCACGUUUGGGUGGAGGAAGGGAAAAACUGUUUUGCAGGCCUGCCCAAAAAUCCUCAUGUUGACUCUGCCAAAACCACACCAAACAUAUGGUAAAUGAAAUAGCUGGCAUGGAGCUGCUUUGGACGGCAGGAGUGUUUCAGCACUGUGGACUGCUCUUUAGCUGUCUUGAAUGUUAUUUACACUGUUUUAAGUAUCUCCACAUUUAAGGGAGAGAAGGCAAAGAAGAGGGCGAUGCCAAUUUUUUUGUGCAUUUGAUGCUUUUUACAUGCACGUUAUUUUUAUAGCCAUGUUAGCACGGUCCCAAUGCUUGCCCUGUCCUGUGGCUGAGAACAGUAACAGCAUUGCAGAAGGUUUCCUCCCCUCUUCGUGUCGCAACAGACUUCGGUGGAAAAGCACACAGAAGCAUUUUCUCUCUCAAAACAGGAGCUGUGCCUAAUUCACCAUAUAAAUGUCCUGCACAUUUCAUGGAGCUGAUGAAAUCAUGUACAGAUGGAAUGCCUCUUAACAAAGGCUUUAUUCACAGGGCAGGUUUCUCUGCCAUGUAUCUUUGACUGUAUUCCAGCUUAUACAGCUAUUCCCAGUGAAUACAUCCAUGGAGCCAGACCAUUUUCUGGGCAGAUACCAAAGGUGGAUGUGCUCAGCUCCCAACACCGCACUGUGGCUUCACUACAAGUCUGAGGCUGGAAGUCAUGCCAAUGAGCAUUCCUUUCCUCACUCUGUAUUGUUCACCUGGACUCAAGCACCCAGUGCCAUUUCCAGGGUUUGUCAGGUACUUUGGAAGAAACACCGCAGGACAACAGAACCUGAGAAAGAGCAUCCAGAGAAGCCAGAGGUCUUCAGUCAUUUGGGAGACGGCCAUAGGAAUGGAGUUGUGGUGGCUACAGCUACAAAAGAUGGAUGAAAAUAAAGCAGCCAAAUGGUGAUGAUCAUGAAAAAAAAAUAAAAAAUAAAAAGUGACUGUUCU
rnacentral:lncRNA from 7 species